GACGAACGCUGGCGGCGGGCCUAACACAUGCAAGUCGAGCGGCGAGGCGGACGGGAGGGUGAGGCCUGGGAAUCUGCCCGGUAGUGGGGGAUAACGUAGGGAAAGGGGGCCUAUUAUCGCAUACUUGCAGGUGGGCCUCGGUGGGAUUAGCGAGUUGGUGGGGUAAAGGCCUACCAAGGCGACGAGCCGUAGCCGGCCUGAGAGGAGGAUCAGUCACACUGGGACUGAGACACGGUCCAGACUCCUACGGGAGGCAGCAGUGGGGAAUAUUGGACAAUGGGGGAAACCCUGAUGCAGCCAUGCCGCGUGUAUGAAGAAGGCCUUCGGAUUGUAAAGUACUUUAAGUGGGGAGGCGUUACCUGCAGAAUAAGCACCGGCUAACUACGUGCCAGCAGCCGCGGUAAUUC
rnacentral:rRNA from 1 species